UCUUCUUCUUCGGGGAGCAAAAUCAAUCUCAGCUGACACCACAGGAAUUGGUACCCAAGGUUUUUCAUGAGGGGGUUUAACUGAACCCGAUGCCCCAUGUUAAGACCACCCCUGCCAGCUGCUGCUCACCUCGCGGGUGAUUCCUCUGUGAUCGAGCAGAACAUCUUGUCUUGGGUUCAAUAGAGCAUAUGCUGAGAAGAGGUUGGUAGCAGAAAAUGCAAGCUUGCAAAACAUGUAAAAAGGUUGGAUUUAAAGGAGUGGUCUAUGACAUCUAGAGCUCUUGGCAAGGUUUGAGAAAAGGCAGCCUAUCACAAGGAAAUAUUGAAGUAGCUGCUGUAAG